AGAGUUUGAUCAUGGCUCAGGACGAACGCUGACGGUGUGCUUUAGGCAUGCAAGUCGAACGAGAAAGCCCUUCGGGGCGAGUAAAGUGGCGAACGGGUGAGUAACACGUGGGCAACCUGCCCCUCGCAGGGGGACAACCGGAGGAAACUCCGGCUAAUACCCCGUAAGCUCUACACGCCGCAUGGCGAGUAGAGGAAAGGUAGCUUCGGCCAUCCGGCGAGGGAUGGGCUCGCGGUGCAUUAGCUAGUUGGUGGGGUAACGGCCCACCAAGGCAACGAUGCGUAGCUGGUCUGAGAGGAUGAUCAGCCACACUGGGACUGAGACACGGCCCAGACUCCUACGGGAGGCAGCAGCCAGGAAUCUUGGGCAAUGGGCGAAAGCCUGACCCAGCAACACCGUGUGGGUGAUGAAGGCCUUCGGGUCGUAAAGCCCUGUUGAUAGGGACGAAGGGCGAAGGGUUAAUAGCCCCUAGCUUGACGGUACCUUUCGAGGAAGCCCCGGCUAACUACGUGCCAGCAGCCGCGGUAAUACGUAGGGGGCGAGCGUUGUCCGGAAUUAUUGGGCGUAAAGAGCGUGUAGGCGGUUCGGUAAGUCUGUCGUGAAAUCCUGGGGCUCAACCCCGGGCGUGCGAUGGAUACUGCCGGGCUAGAGGGUGGUAGAGGCGAGUGGAAUUCCCGGUGUAGCGGUGAAAUGCGCAGAUAUCGGGAGGAACACCAGUAGCGAAGGCGGCUCGCUGGGCCACACCUGACGCUGAGACGCGAAAGCUAGGGGAGCGAACAGGAUUAGAUACCCCGGUAGUCC
rnacentral:rRNA from 1 species